rnacentral:rRNA from 1 species
AGAGUUUGAUCAUGGCUCAGAGCGAACGCUGGCGGCGUGCCUAACACAUGCAAGUCGAGCGAGAAAGGGAGCUUCGGCUCCUGAGUAGAGCGGCGAACGGGUGCGUAACACGUGGGUAAUCUGUCCUUAAGAUGGGAAUAACUCAGCGAAAGCUGGGCUAAUACCCAAUGAGACCACAGAAAGCAAUUUCAGGGGUCAAAGAGCGCUUCUUCUAGGAGCAUUCGUUUGAGGAGGAGCCCGCGACCUAUCAGCUUGUUGGUAGGGUAACGGCCUACCAAGGCAAAGACGGGUAGCUGGUCUGAGAGGAUGACCAGCCACACGGGGACUGAGACACGGCCCCGACUCCUACGGGAGGCAGCAGUGGGGAAUAUUGGGCAAUGGGGGAAACCCUGACCCAGCGACGCCGCGUGGGUGAUGAAGGCCUUCGGGUUGUAAAGCCUUGUCAGGAGGAACGAACGUUUCUGGGGUAAAUAGCCCUAGAAAGUGACGGUACCUCUGAAGGAAGCACCGGCCAACUCCGUGCCAGCAGCCGCGGUAAGACGGAGGGUGCAAGCGUUGCUCGGAAUCAUUGGGCGUAAAGGGUGCGUAGGCGGCUUUUUAAGUCUGACGUGAAAGCCCAAGGCUCAGCCUUGGAAGUGCGCCAGAAACUGAAAGGCUAGAGUGCCGGAGGGGAGAGUGGAAUUCCUGGUGUAGCGGUGAAAUGCGUAGAUAUCAGGAGGAAUACCGGUGGCGAAAGCGACUCUCUGGACGGUAACUGACGCUGAGGCACGAAAGCGUGGGGAGCAAACAGGAUUAGAUACCCUAGUAGUCC